ACGAACGCUGGCGGCGCGCCUAACACAUGCAAGUCGAACGAGCGAGAGAGAGCUUGCUUUCUCGAGCGAGUGGCGAACGGGUGAGUAACGCGUGAGGAACCUGCCUCAAAGAGGGGGACAACAGUUGGAAACGACUGCUAAUACCGCAUAAGCCCACGACCCGGCAUCGGGUAGAGGGAAAAGGAGCAAUCCGCGUUGAGAUGGCCUCGCGUCCGAUUAGCUAGUUGGUGAGGUAACGGCCCACCAAGGCGACGAUCGGUAGCCGGACUGAGAGGUUGAACGGCGAGAGUGGGACUGAGACACGGCCCAGACGCCUACGGGAGGCAGCAGUGGGGAAUAUUGCACAAUGGGGGAAACCCUGAUGCAGCGACGCCGCGUGGAGGAAGAAGGUCUUCGGAUUGUAAACUCCUGUUGUUGAGGAAGAUAAUGACGGUACUCAACAAGGAAGUGACGGCUAACUACGUG
rnacentral:rRNA from 1 species